GUCGAGCGGUAGCACGAGAGAGCUUGCUCUCUUGCUGACGAGUGGCGGACGGGUGAGUAAUGUAUGGGAACGUGCCCGAUAGAGGGGGAUAACUACUGGAAAGAGUGGCUAAUACCGCAUACUGUCUACGGACCAAAGGGGGGGAUCUUCAGACCUCUCACUAUUGGAUGAGCCGAUAUGGGAUUAGCUAGUUGGUGGGGUAAAGGCUCACCUAGGCGACGAUCCUCUAGCUGGUUUGAGAGGAUGAUCAGCCACACUGGGGACUGAGACACGGCCCAGACUCCCUACGGGAGGGCAGCAGUGGGGAAUUUUUGGCACAAUGGGGGCGAAACCCCUGAUCCAGCCAUCCCCGCGUGUAUGAUAGAAGGCCUUCGGGGUUGUAAAAGUACUUUUGGCAGAGAAGAAAAGUGUAUCUCCUAAUACCCUUAUCUGCUGACGGUUACCCGCAGAAUAAAGCACCGGCUAACUACGUGCCAGCAGCCGCGGUAAUACGUAGGGUGCAAGCGUUAAUCGGAAUUACUGGGCGUAAAGCGCACGCAGGCGGUUAGUUAAGACAGAUGUGAAAUCCCCGGGCUCAACUUGGGAACUGCAUUUUGUAACUGCCUAGCUAGAGUAUGUGUAGAGGGGGGUAGAAUUCCAUGUGUAGCAGUGAAAUGCGUAGAGAUGUGGAGGAAUACCGAUGGCGAAGGCAGCCCCCUGGAUAAUACUGACGCUCAGGUGCGAAAGCGUGGGGAGCAAACAGGAUUAGAUACCCUGAUAGUCCACGCUGUAAACGAUGUCAACUAGCUGGUGGGUGCCCUUAGACCUUAGUAUCGGAGAGUUAAGCCUGUAGAUCAACCGCCUGGGGGAGUAUCCGUCGCAAGAGUUAAAAAUCUCAAGUGAAUUGACCGGGGAGUCCGCACAAAGCGGUGGGAUGACUUGGGAUCAAAUCCGAUGCAACGCGAAAACUUACUUACCUUUGGACAUGUCCAGCAUCCGUACUAAUAGACAGUGUCCCUCAGAUCAGGAUCAGUCUGCAUGCGUGCUCAGC
rnacentral:rRNA from 1 species